ACGAACGCUGGCGGCGUGCUUAACACAUGCAAGUCGAACGAUGAAGAAGAGCUUGCUCUUUGGAUUAGUGGCGAACGGGUGAGUAACACGUGAGCAAUCUGCCCUUGACUCUGGGAUAAGCGUUGGAAACGACGUCUAAUACCGGAUACGACCCUCGGAGGCAUCUCCUGGGGGUGGAAAGAAUUUUGGUCAAGGAUGAGCUCGCGGCCUAUCAGCUAGUUGGUGAGGUAAUGGCUCACCAAGGCGACGACGGGUAGCCG
rnacentral:rRNA from 1 species